UCAAUUUCUCAAAUUCUAAGAUGAUAAUGAUAUUGAUUAUUGGUGUGAGUUAGUAUUGAAUCGGUGUAUGAUAAAGGCGUGUUAUGAAGAGACAGUGGAAUUCCUUGAUAUUAUUGAUAUUCUGUGAUAUCCCUUGAUAUUCUUCCAUAUUCUUUGAUAUCCCUUAAUAUUCGUUGAUAUUCGUUGACAUUCUUUGACACUCUUUGAUAUUCCUUGAUAUCUUUUCGAUAUUCCUUAAUAUAUUCCUCGAUAAUCCUUAACAUUCCUUGAUGCUCCUUGAGAUUUCUUGGAUUCUUUCCAUCUGAUUGGGAUGAACAACCCUAUGUAUAGGGGACACAAGGUAUACCUGUCUGUGUGAUAGGAGUUGGAUGGGACGCCAUCACUUGUGUGUGUUGUGAUUACAAGAAGGUUAAAAACCUUUAGUAGUGUCUAAUAUGGACACGCAACAUGAAGUUCAUUUGAUCGUAUUGAUCUCCCAGUCACUCUUGUAUUCCAAUGUGACCUAUUUUGAAAAUAUCUUGUUCCUCCGAAAUUCCCAAAGAUUGAUUCUUGGGAAAUGAAGUUUGCAAUUGUGAAGGUUUUGAUUCUCCUAUUUCUUUAACUUUGAAGGGUAUGCCAAAGUUGAGCAAAGGCGGACGAGCAUGUGAUAUUAUGAAGCGUGUACAAUGAUCUUAUAAAUGAUACGUUUUAGUUCUCAUCGCGGAUUCUGAGGACAGAAUCCUUAUAAGGGGGUGGAAUGUAAUAUCCCAUAUUAUUAAAUUUAGAUUUGAUUAUUAUAAAUCUAUUUGUCUAGAUAUUAUUGUUGUCUGUAGUUGAAUAUUGAUGUGAUUAUGUGAAAUAGUUGUAUGUGAUUAUACUUGUUUCAUGGAUUAAUAUGGAUUUUACAGAUUUUUCGUCCUCCUUCUUUCUUUGAUUCCGAGGACGGAAUCCCUAUAAGGAGGGUAGAUUGUAAUGACCCGGAUUUUUAAAAAUUUUUAUUAGUAUUAAAAGUGAUUUUCUUUAAAGAAGGGUCGAUAAUCCCUAAUAUUCUUGAUGCUCCUUGAGAUUUCUUGGAUUCUUUCCAUCUGAUUGGGAUGAACAACCCUAUGUAUAGGGGACACAAGGUAUACCUGUCUGUGUGAUAGGAGUUGGAUGGGACGCCAUCACUUGUGUGUGUUGUGAUUACAAGAAGGUUAACAACCUUUAGUAGUGUCUAAUAUGGACACGCAACAUUAAGUUCAUUUGAUCGUAUUGAUCUCCCAGUCAUUCUUGUAUUCCAAUGUCACCUAUUUUGAAAACAUCUUGUUCUAUUCGAAAAUUCCCAAAGAUCGAUUCUUGGGAAAUGAAUUUUGCAAUCGCGAAAGUGUGAUUUUCCUUUUCCAUUAAAGUCAAAGGUAUGCCAAGAUCAAUCGAAGGUGGAUGACGAUAUGAUAUUACGAAGUGUGUACGUUUUAGUUUCUUCGGAGGAUUCCGAGGACGGAAUCCUUAUAAGGGGGGUAGAAUGUAAUAUCCCAUAUUAUUAAAUUUAGAUUUGAUUAUUAUAAAUCUAUUUGUCUAAAUAUUAUUGUUGGCUUUAGUUGAAAAGUGAAUUGAUUAUGUGAAUAGUUUUAUGUGAUUAUACUUGUUAUGUGGAUUAAUAUGGAUUUUACAGAUUAUGCGUCCUCCUUCUUUCUCUGAUUCCGAGGACGGAAUCCCUAUAAGGAGGGUAGAUUGUAAUAACCCGGAUUUUAAAAAUAUUUUUAUUAAUAUUAUAAAUGAUUUUCUUAAAAAGAAAGGAAUAAGAUUUAAUAUUUUAUUCCAGUUUAAUGAGUUUUCAAG
rnacentral:lncRNA from 1 species